GUUAUAGGUCCAUGAUACAGAAACCCAGCUACAAAACUAACCAACAGAUAUUAAGAGGACAUCAUAAGUCUUCAACCAUUUAUGAAACCGAAUCGUUACGUGACAUGGACAACAGUUUUAAAACUUAUUGGUUUUAAAACUAUAUGUAAAAUUACAAUUAAAAACACUUUCAAAGUUCGAAUUUAAAAUAUGAAAGAUCACAAUUU
rnacentral:lncRNA from 1 species